AGACAAGACAACCAAAAACCAUUGAAAGAAGAAAUAUAAAAAAAUAAAUUCACACUUUCUAAUUAAUUUAAAAGAUAAAAUAAAACUAAAUAGAUCCACUUCAUUUAUCAAUUUAUCACAAUGAAUUAUAUUUGUUCGAUACACUGUUGUCAAUAUAAAUAUUGAAAAAAAAAAAGAAAAGAAAUUUCAAUGAAAACAAUAAAAAAAAAGGACUUGUGUUGGAUUGGCACUACAAAUAUAAUCCAAACCAAAUAAAAUCGAUAGAAAAAAGUAUAGAUGAGAGAAUAAAUAAAGAAUAAGUGGAAAACAAAACUACAAUUUACUUAGAUUUAUUGAAUCCAUAAUGGAUUCAAUCAAGUUAAGUGAUAAAAGAAAACUUUAUUUCUUUGUUAGCUUUAGUAGAGUUCCAAUGAAAAACGGAAAACCAACCGAAAUGCCCGAAUUUAUUAUUUCU
rnacentral:lncRNA from 1 species